rnacentral:miRNA from 2 species
AGACUACAAUUAUCUGAUCA